UACAGAGGGUGCAAGCGUUAAUCGGAAUUACUGGGCGUAAAGAGCUCGUAGGUGGUUUGUCGCGUCUGCCGUGAAAGUCCGGGGCUCAACUCCGGAUCUGCGGUGGGUACGGGCAGACUAGAGUGCGGUAGGGGAGAUUGGAAUUCCUGGUGUAGCGGUGGAAUGCGCAGAUAUCAGGAGGAACACCGAUGGCGAAGGCAGAUCUCUGGGCCGUAACUGACGCUGAUGACACGAAAGGCUAGGGAGCAAACCAGGAGUUAG
rnacentral:rRNA from 1 species